rnacentral:rRNA from 2 species
UCAAGUGAAUAAGUGCAUCAGGCGGAUGCCUUGGCGAUGAUAGGCGACGAAGGACGUGUAAGCCUGCGAAAAGCGCGGGGGAGCUGGCAAUAAAGCUAUGAUUCCGCGAUGUCCGAAUGGGGAAACCCACUGCAUUCUGUGCAGUAUCCUAAGUUGAAUACAUAGGCUUAGAGAAGCGAACCCGGAGAACUGAACCAUCUAAGUACCCGGAGGAAAAGAAAUCAACCGAGAUUCCGCAAGUAGUGGCGAGCGAACGCGGAGGAGCCUGUACGUAAUAACUGUCGAGAUAGAAGAACAAGCUGGGAAGCUUGACCAUAGCGGGUGACAGUCCCGUAUUCGAAAUCUCAACAGCGGUACUAAGCGUACGAAAAGUAGGGCGGGACACGUGAAAUCCUGUCUGAAUAUGGGGGGACCAUCCUCCAAGGCUAAAUACUCAUCAUCGACCGAUAGUGAACCAGUACCGUGAGGGAAAGGCGAAAAGAACCCCGGGAGGGGAGUGAAACAGAACCUGAAACCUGAUGCAUACAAACAGUGGGAGCGCCCUAGUGGUGUGACUGCGUACCUUUUGUAUAAUGGGUCAACGACUUACAUUCAGUAGCGAGCUUAACCGGAUAGGGGAGGCGUAGGGAAACCGAGUCUUAAUAGGGCGAUGAGUUGCUGGGUGUAGACCCGAAACCGAGUGAUCUAUCCAUGGCCAGGUUGAAGGUGCCGUAACAGGUACUGGAGGACCGAACCCACGCAUGUUGCAAAAUGCGGGGAUGAGCUGUGGGUAGGGGUGAAAGGCUAAACAAACUCGGAGAUAGCUGGUUCUCCCCGAAAACUAUUUAGGUAGUGCCUCGAGCAAGACACUGAUGGGGGUAAAGCACUGUUAUGGCUAGGGGGUUAUUGCAACUUACCAACCCAUGGCAAACUCAGAAUACCAUCAAGUGGUUCCUCGGGAGACAGACAGCGGGUGCUAACGUCCGUUGUCAAGAGGGAAACAACCCAGACCGCCGGCUAAGGUCCCAAAUGAUAGAUUAAGUGGUAAACGAAGUGGGAAGGCACAGACAGCCAGGAUGUUGGCUUAGAAGCAGCCAUCAUUUAAAGAAAGCGUAAUAGCUCACUGGUCGAGUCGUCCUGCGCGGAAGAUGUAACGGGGCUCAAAUCUAUAACCGAAGCUGCGGAUGCCGGUUUACCGGCAUGGUAGGGGAGCGUUCUGUAGGCUGAUGAAGGUGCAUUGUAAAGUGUGCUGGAGGUAUCAGAAGUGCGAAUGUUGACAUGAGUAGCGAUAAAGCGGGUGAAAAGCCCGCUCGCCGAAAGCCCAAGGUUUCCUACGCAACGUUCAUCGGCGUAGGGUAAGUCGGCCCCUAAGGCGAGGCAGAAAUGCGUAGUCGAUGGGAAACAGGUUAAUAUUCCUGUACUUGAUUCAAAUGCGAUGUGGGGACGGAGAAGGUUAGGUUGGCAAGCUGUUGGAAUAGCUUGUUUAAGCCGGUAGGUGGAAGACUUAGGCAAAUCCGGGUUUUCUUAACACCGAGAAGUGAUGACGAGUGUCUACGGACACGAAGCAACCGAUACCACGCUUCCAGGAAAAGCCACUAAGCUUCAGUUUGAAUCGAACCGUACCGCAAACCGACACAGGUGGGCAGGAUGAGAAUUCUAAGGCGCUUGAGAGAACUCGGGAGAAGGAACUCGGCAAAUUGAUACCGUAACUUCGGGAGAAGGUAUGCCCUCUAAGGUUAAGGACUUGCUCCGUAAGCCCCGGAGGGUCGCAGAGAAUAGGUGGCUGCGACUGUUUAUUAAAAACACAGCACUCUGCCAACACGAAAGUGGACGUAUAGGGUGUGACGCCUGCCCGGUGCCGGAAGGUUAAUUGAAGAUGUGCAAGCAUCGGAUCGAAGCCCCGGUAAACGGCGGCCGUAACUAUAACGGUCCUAAGGUAGCGAAAUUCCUUGUCGGGUAAGUUCCGACCCGCACGAAUGGCGUAACGAUGGCCACACUGUCUCCUCCCGAGACUCAGCGAAGUUGAAGUGGUUGUGAAGAUGCAAUCUACCCGCUGCUAGACGGAAAGACCCCGUGAACCUUUACUGUAGCUUUGCAUUGGACUUUGAAGUCACUUGUGUAGGAUAGGUGGGAGGCUUGGAAGCAGAGACGCCAGUCUCUGUGGAGUCGUCCUUGAAAUACCACCCUGGUGUCUUUGAGGUUCUAACCCAGACCCGUCAUCCGGGUCGGGGACCGUGCAUGGUAGGCAGUUUGACUGGGGCGGUCUCCUCCCAAAGCGUAACGGAGGAGUUCGAAGGUUACCUAGGUCCGGUCGGAAAUCGGACUGAUAGUGCAAUGGCAAAAGGUAGCUUAACUGCGAGACCGACAAGUCGGGCAGGUGCGAAAGCAGGACAUAGUGAUCCGGUGGUUCUGUAUGGAAGGGCCAUCGCUCAACGGAUAAAAGGUACUCCGGGGAUAACAGGCUGAUUCCGCCCAAGAGUUCAUAUCGACGGCGGAGUUUGGCACCUCGAUGUCGGCUCAUCACAUCCUGGGGCUGUAGUCGGUCCCAAGGGUAUGGCUGUUCGCCAUUUAAAGUGGUACGUGAGCUGGGUUUAAAACGUCGUGAGACAGUUUGGUCCCUAUCUGCAGUGGGCGUUGGAAGUUUGACGGGGGCUGCUCCUAGUACGAGAGGACCGGAGUGGACGAACCUCUGGUGUACCGGUUGUAACGCCAGUUGCAUAGCCGGGUAGCUAAGUUCGGAAGAGAUAAGCGCUGAAAGCAUCUAAGCGCGAAACUCGCCUGAAGAUGAGACUUCCCUUGCGGUUUAACCGCACUAAAGGGUCGUUCGAGACCAGGACGUUGAUAGGUGGGGUGUGGAAGCGCGGUAACGCGUGAAGCUAACCCAUACUAAUUGCCCGUGAGGCUUGACUCU